rnacentral:rRNA from 1 species
UACGGAGGGGGCAAGCGUUGUUCGGAAUUACUGGGCGUAAAGGGCGCGCAGGCGGCUGCUCAAGUCAGGCGUGAAAGGCCUGGGCUCAACCGUGGAAGUGCACUCGAAACUGGAUGGCUAGAGUCCUGGAGAGGAAGGUGGAAUGCUUGGUGUAGAGGUGAAAUUCGUAGAUAUCAAGCGGAACACCGGUGGCGAAGGCGGCCUUCUGGACAGUGACUGACGCUGAGACGCGAAAGCGUGGGGAGCAAACAGG